rnacentral:misc_RNA from 1 species
AAGGAGUCUAACAUAUCUGCGAGUAUUCGGGUGUCAAACCCGAGUGCGCAAUGAAAGUGAACGUAGGAGCCACGCGCAAGCUGCAGCUUCGACCGAUCUGGAUCUUUAGUGGAAGAUUUGAGUAAGAGCAUAUAUGUUAGGACCCGAAAGAUGGUGAACUAUGCCUGAAUAGGGUGAAGCCAGAGGAAACUCUGGUGGAGGCUCGUAGCGAUUCUGACGUGCAAAUCGAUCGUCAAAUUUGGGUAUAGGGGCGAAAGACUAAUCGAACCAUCUAGUAGCUGGUUCCUGC